GCGGAGCGGAGACUGACGGGAAGAGGGCGGGGCCACUUGGCAAUGAUCCCGGUUUCAGCAGAGAGACAUCUCUGGCCUCCUUCCCCCCUGCCCGGCCACGAGGCUGGGUGGGGGAGGGGAAACACGUGGUCGGCUCAGAAAGAAACUUUUCUUAGACAUUGAUUCUCAUGACUGGUGGUUUUCGGAGAGAGGGAAGCGGCCUGGGACCGAGAUGAUAAAGCAUGAUUGGAAGGAACUCGAUGGAAGAAUGAGAGGAGUAGCCUUGGAGCUGGACUUUUCUUGCAUAAUGUCAGCCAUGGACUGAACUUGAGUCUCUUUUGAACAUAAACUGCAUUUCUGGGUGGAUGCAGCUGCCCCUUGCUUUUGCUACAGUGACUGGCACUUGAAGAGUGGAGCGAGCAGAGAAAAGAGGGGGAGGGUGAGGUGGUGCCCUCUGCCCUCAGGGCAGACCUGCUCCUGGAACCCCAGCCCCUGGGUGAAAAGGGGAGAGCUCGGCAUGCAGCAUCCUUAAAAAGCCCUGUAUGUAGUUGUGGCCUAUGAGACAGCGGUGAGAGCGCUGGACAUAGGAAAAAGAGAGUGUCACCUUAGCAGACUUCUCCGGGCGGUGCUAUGGGUGACAUGGAAACACAUAAGGGGUGGACCCGUGUUUUCUGAGGAACAGUCUGUGGUGCGAGAGAGACUCCUCUCUCCCUUGCUGAAUUGAAGUUUAUUUUUUUUGUGAGUGGUGAUUGUUUAAUCUAAAACCCAAGAGUUGGUCUUUGAAGAGUGAUGGGUGG